GAGUUUGAUCCUGGCUCAGAGUGAACGCUGGCGGCGUGCUUAACACAUGCAAGUCGAACGAGAACGGGUCUUAGCUUGCUAAGAUUGUCAGCUAAGUGGCGCACGGGUGAGUAAUAUAUAGUUAACCUGCCCUAGAGAGAGGGAUAACGUUUGGAAACGGACGCUAAUACCUCAUAUGCCUUUAAGUCAAAAGACUGCAAGGGAAACAUUUAUGGCUCUAGGAUGGGACUGUACGGUAUCAGUUAGUUGGUGAGGUAAUGGCUCACCAAGACAAUGACACCUAACUGGUUUGAGAGGAUGAUCAGUCACACUGGAACUGAGACACGGUCCAGACUCCUACGGGAGGCAGCAGUGGGGAAUAUUGCACAAUGGACGAAAGUCUGAUGCAGCAACGCCGCGUGGAGGAUGACACAUUUCGGUGCGUAAACUCCUUUUAUAUAGGAAGAUAAUGACGGUACUAUAUGAAUAAGCACCGGCUAACUCCGUGCCAGCAGCCACGGUAAUACGGAGGGUGCAAGCGUUACUCGGAAUCACUGGGCGUAAAGAGCGUGUAGGCGGAUAGUUAAGUUUGAAGUGAAAUCCAAUAGCUCAACCAUUGAACUGCUUUGAAAACUGAUUAUCUAGAAUAUGGGAGAGGUAGAUGGAAUUUCUGGUGUAGGGGUAAAAUCCGUAGAGAUCAGAAGGAAUACCGAUUGCGAAGGCGAUCUACUGGAACAUUAUUGACGCUGAGACGCGAAAGCGUGGGGAGCAAACAGGAUUAGAUACCCUGGUAGUCCACGCCCUAAACGAUGCACACUAGUUGUUGCUAUGCUAGACAUAGCAGUAAUGCAGUUAACACAUUAAGUGUGCCGCCUGGGGAGUACGGUCGCAAGAUUAAAACUCAAAGGAAUUGACG
rnacentral:rRNA from 1 species